UAUUCCUAUAAACCUCUAUUUCGCAUUUUUUUAAAGACUAUUUUAUUCCUUAAUUGCUUAAUUAUUCAAUUUUCGAUUUGCCCGUAUUGUUUUGAAUUAGAAAUGCUAUCCUUCGGAUUAUAUUCAGUUUGUUUUGUUUUAAAAUAUUCACGGCUGCGCCAUCUGCCGAAAGAAUACGUCGAACUUUUGAAGAUACUUUGAGUGACUUUGUAAAUAAAGUGAAAAAUGCAAAGCCUUUUGGUCAUUUAGUCUUUAAAUUUGGUCUUAUGACUUUAAAGCUACGAUUCUUGUACUAAUUAACUGGAGAAUUCGUAUGUCUUUUUUGUAAUGCCGUACGACAAUAGUCGUAAACGUAGAUAAAUUCUACAAUAUUUCAGGUCACUAGAGAUGGCAUUAUGCACGUCACAAGACCCAAGUAUUUUUACACCAAAUUUCCCAACGYUUUCAAUUGAUGUUUGGUGGAAUUAGAGAGUUGGUGAUCCAAAGCGUAAAACAACCAGACGAAACAAAGAAACGAACUGUUCCAAGCCGUUAUUGAUAUUGUAAAAUUCACACCAAUAUUAAAAUCAAAGUUUGAAUAAAA